GGUGGUAUAGCUCAGUUGGUAGAUUGCUUGCUUUGCAUGCACAAGGCCCUGGGUUCAAACCCCAGCACCACCA
rnacentral:tRNA from 1 species